AAUAUAUUAAAAAUACCUUUUUAAAAAACCUUAUACUUUUUUUACAGUGCUAAAAAACUAGUCUUGAGAAGUACCUAGAAUUCUGACUUGUGGCAAGGGAUGGAGCUAUGGUGUGGACAGAGCUCUGGACGACAACUUGUUUUAGAUACAGCAGUGUACAUUAUGGGCUUUACGGGUCUGGUGCACCACUGCAUUCUCCCACCUGUCAGCUCGAUGCACAGUGGGCACUCCAUCGAUACUGAGAGAUGGUUACCUGGAAGAAUGGAGUGGUAGUAAGGACAUGGGGUGCCCACCCUUAAAUGCCAGGCAGAUUUUUUUUUUUUCAUUUGAUUUAGUAGGAGGCGUGAAGAAAAUUAAGCAGGAAGUUUCCUGAAGACUUCAAAACAAAGCCAGGUUGCUCUCUCUAGAGCAGCCCUAAUCAUAGAUAGUGGUUAGCAGUGUAGUUGGGCUGUUCUUUCCUACCCAGAAUGAUCAACAGACAUGAGAGAAAAAUACAAAAGCAUUUAGAUUCACUUGAAUGUGAUGAAGACGCUGGCUGGCAUCUUGCGUCAUUGAUCUGUUUUAUUUCUACUGCAGCUAGUUUCAUUACAUUUUGCAAAGGUCCCCAGGAGAACGUGAGUUAGAAAUAAGACAAGGAGCUAGGGCCGUCGUUCAAUUGUCAGUCAGAGUGCUUGUUUAACAUACUUGAGGCCCUGUGUUCAAUUCCCCAUACUACGAAAGGGUGGGUGUGCUAGCCCACAUCUGCAGUUCCAGCGCUCAGAGGUAGAGGAUCAGAAGUUCAAGGUCUUGCCUGUUACAUAGCAAGUGUGUGGUAGCCCCUGAGUCAUGAGAUGUACGGGUGGGGCAGGGAAGAUAAAGAGGAAGGGAAAGAGGAAAAGGAAAGAAGAGAGAGAGGAAGAAAGAAAAGCAAAAGCAGGUGCUCUGGGUUUCAGUCCCAGGAGUCCCAGAAACGCUGUUUGCACAGGAGGGAGGUUCCUCUCCCUGGGCCUGCUGUAGUAGGAAGCAUCCCCAGAAACUCUAAUGGAAAUCCCUUGUUUGCUGUCGUAGUCCUCGCCUGCCAAGAGCAGUGUGGCCGAGGCAGGCCUGGGGUGAGCAUGCCCUGGUGAGGUAAUGGAGGGAACCCUGGUGCAUCCUCCUUUGGCUGGUCCCUGCAUCUCUGAAUCAGGGAUCUGGGCAGCAGGGGUGAAAGCUGGGUCACCCUUCCUGACCUCUCUGCUGAUAGGUGGUAGCUGGACCCAUCUAACUGGUCUUCCAUGGGAGCUAUAAGGAGUUGCCCACUUGACAUCUUUGAUCCAGAGACUUCUCUGUGGGGCUACGGGCGACCACAGUAAGAGCUGAGGACUCACACUGAUUGUCUGAAAAAUUUCACAUUGAGUUUCUUUUUGCUGUUGCUUCUGGGGUUCUCAUAAAUUGAUAAGCACUUUUUAAAAAAUCUGUAUGAUACUAACAAAAAAUCUGGAAGCAGUAGAACCAUGUAAGUGUGAUGGCCCUGUGAUACAGUUAUUUUAAAUUAUGUUUGUAUUUUCCUAAUGUCUUCCUAAUGUUUUAGUAUGUAUUAUUUAUAAUUAUGUGCACAUAUGCUUCUUCUUGUAUAUGUUGAUGUAUGUGUGCUUGUGUUGAACAGCAUUAAAGAUUUUGAAAUAUG
rnacentral:lncRNA from 1 species